GUGCAUUUGUGAUCUGAUUUUGAUGCAUUAGUUCCACCAGGAUCGUCCUGAGACGUUUGCGGUUGACUUUCUGAACUGUUUUCAUGCUCCAAUUGAUCAGAAUCAACUUCAUUCUCUAACUGGUCCCCUGAAGAAACCAUAUGCACAAGUGAGCUUAGAUAAUAAGCCAGAGGGCUCUAAAGAAUUCUUAUUCUCCACACUUUGAUUGACA
rnacentral:misc_RNA from 1 species